rnacentral:rRNA from 1 species
AUUGAACGCUGGCGGAAUGCUUUACACAUGCAAGUCGAACGGCAGCGCGGACUUCGGUCUGGCGGCGAGUGGCGAACGGGUGAGUAAUGCAUCGGAACGUGCCCAGUCGUGGGGGAUAACGUAGUGAAAAUUACGCUAAUACCGCAUACGAUCUAUGGAUGAAAGCGGGGGAUCGCAAGACCUCGCGCGAUUGGAGCGGCCGAUAUCAGAUUAGGUAGUUGGUGGGGUAAAGGCCCACCAAGCCAACGAUCUGUAGCUGGUCUGAGAGGACGACCAGCCACACUGGAACUGAGACACGGUCCAGACUCCUACGGGAGGCAGCAGUGGGGAAUUUUGGACAAUGGGCGAAAGCCUGAUCCAGCCAUUCCGCGUGCAGGAUGAAGGCCCUCGGGUUGUAAACUGCUUUUGUACAGAACGAAAAGGUUUCUACUAAUACUAGGAGCUCAUGACGGUACUGUAAGAAUAAGCACCGGCUAACUACGUGCCAGCCGCCGCGGUAA